GUAGGUGAACCUGCGGAAGGAUCAUUAACACGUAUCCAAACGUUAAAACAACCCUGUGAAUAUUGAAUCUCAGUUCCCCCAGGGCAGAAAAAUGGGCUUCCUCUAGUAAAUCAUUGUCUUAACAAGGUUUUGAGUUAGAGGAUGGCGCACGAGUAGCACCUGUAUUGGGUCGAGCGUUUCCAAGAUCCACCCCUGGUGCCCCCAAGCAACCAUCAAUCUGAAAGUGUUUGGUGAAUUGUGCAAGGGCAGC
rnacentral:misc_RNA from 1 species